rnacentral:rRNA from 1 species
UACAGAGGUCUCAAGCGUUGUUCAGAUUCAUUGGGCGUAAAGGGUGCGUAGGCGGCGCGGUAAGUCGGGUGUGAAAUCUCGGGGCUUAACUCCGAAACUGCAUUCGAUACUGCCGUGCUUGAGGACUGGAGAGGAGACUGGAAUUCCUGGUGUAGCGGUGAAAUGCGCAGAUAUCAGGAGGAACACCGAUGGCGAAGGCAGGUCUCUGGGCCAUAACUGACGCUGAGAAGCGAAAGCAUGGGGAGCGAACAGG